GGCCUUUGAAAGACCACCAGUGGAAGAGGGAUGGCGCCUCCUCUGUACUGUGGAGUGAGAAGGACGGGUUUGAGUCUUGGCUGCACUGGGCAGGUCCCACGAUCUCUCUGAUGCGGAAUUGUGAGAACCAAAGCAGUUUCCCUUGACCCUCACUUCCGUCCCUGGGGCUGAAGCCCCUUCCAGGGCGCAGGCGCAGAAGCUUUAGCCUCAGGCUCUGUUUUCUUGGGAACUUGGACUAAGACAUUUCCCGACUGGAUCGCGAUAUUCUUGAGGACCAAGAACAUGAAGAUUCUCCCUGUGAAGUCACAGGAUAUCUCUGUUUAAUGUCUUUCUUAAGUUGUAUGAAAAAUGUGAUUGCGUUUAUAUAAAAUUAUAUGCAGGGGGAAAUAGGCUGGUAGGGAAAUAUACCAAAAUGUUAAUAGUGGUAAUGUUAAGGUGAUGAAACUCUGAGUGAUUUAUUUUACAAAUUUUCUUUAAGUUAUUGUAUUUAUAAUGAAAAGUAUCAACAUAUAAAAAACUAGCUCAAAUUAAAAAUGUUUUUGGUUCAAAAAGUGUCUGACACAUCGCAUGGUAAAAUAUUUAGAUGGACUUUUAGAAAGCGCCCCGCCCCCCUUUUUUUAAAGCUGUAGACCAUUGCUAAGUAGAGACCCUAAGUGCAAAUGUAUGACAAAUAUCUGAUGGAAUGGUGCAGAAAUGAGGCCCUGAAAAAGGAAACCAGGGGUCAGACGGGGUUUGGAGGAAAGAAAUCCUCUCUCACACUGGGGUAGAAGGGAGAGCCUCCCAGCUGAUGAGAAUAUUCUCAGUCUGUCCUUUAAAGUAGCUUUAGAAGCUGAGUGGAAGAAAUGACCAAGUAGCCAGAACUUUUAGGAAAAAUUCUAAGAGGGGCUUUUUGCCACUGAAUUGCUCUAAAAUCUUAGCAGUCCACUGAGAAGAGGGAUUUGGACUUCAAAAUAACUUACAGUGAUUCCAUGAAAAGGAAAUUUGUAGUCGCAACGGGAUAAGAACAGGGUGCAUUUGGUUCACAGCGAUUAAAGACAAGAGACAGAGAUCCUAAAGCGUAUCUUUUAAAUCCUGUAUCCAUCAUGACCCUCAGGAGAGCCCAAGAGUCAAGAAAAACGGGGAACCAACCAGAGAAUCAC